UACGAAGGGUGCAAACGUUGCUCGGAAUUAUUGGGCGUAAAGCGCACGUAGGCGGCUUGGCAAGUCGGAUGUGAAAUCCCUCGGCUCAACCAAGGAAGUGCAUCCGAAACUGCUGAGCUUGAGUACUUAAGAGGAUCGCGGAAUUCCCGGUGUAGAGGUGAAAUUCGUAGAUAUCGGGAGGAACACCAGUGGCGAAGGCGGCGAUCUGGGAAGAUACUGACGCUGAGGUGCGAAAGCGCGGGGAGCAAACAGG
rnacentral:rRNA from 1 species